UACAGUGGCCUCAAGCGUUGCUCGGAAUCACUGGGCGUAAAGCGCACGUAGGCGGAUCUUUAAGUCAGGGGUGAAAUCCCAAGGCUCAACCUUGGAACUGCCUUUGAUACUGGGGAUCUCGAGUCCGGAAGAGGUGAGUGGAACUGCGAGUGUAGAGGUGAAAUUCGUAGAUAUUCGCAAGAACACCAGUGGCGAAGGCGGCUCACUGGUCCGGUACUGACGCUGAGGUGCGAAAGCGUGGGGAGCAAACAGG
rnacentral:rRNA from 1 species